UUGCCAUCGUGGAACACACGCGGCUUUCUUCGCUUAUCAAUCGGAAUCGCCUGUGUAUUCGUGUGCUUCUAUCGUGACCGCGAGUAUAGCUUGCCGCGGCUAUGCUACAGUCCUACAGUGGCGGCUAGCCGGGACGAUUUCCACGUAGUAAAGGAAAACAACCUACGCCUCAAGUGACGGCCAUGCCGAGGACCAUGAUGGCCUCCAUCAUGCUUCUCAACUUCGACGAAGGCACAGAAAUACGGCCACGAUGGUUGGGAUGAAAUCCCGCGACCUCAUGCACAAUUGCAGAACUCCAUAGCAACUGGGCCAACGUUACGGAGUCACUUCCUGACAACGCAGUGGAAACGCACACCUCUGCGGUACACGAGAGCAGGUAGCGCGCGCUCACGAGGACUGCCGCAACCGAGCUCAGUGAGCCGUCGUUCUCAAUCGUGGUUCCCGAAGCCAUCGAAAACGUAAGCCAGAGGAGAAGACGCACAGUGCUGCCGCCUCAUCCAUCGGUCUUCAGCGAUCUUCG